rnacentral:misc_RNA from 1 species
AGGGAUCAUUACAGAGUUCUCGCCCUCACGGGUAGAUCUCCCACCCUUUGUUAUCGCUACGAUCGUUUCUUUGGCGGGCCGCCAGGCCCAGCCCGGCCGCCGGCUCCGGCUGGCGCGCGCCCGCCAGAGGCCCCUAAACUCUGAAUGUCAGCGUCGUCUGAGUACUAUAUAAUAGUUAAAACUUUCAACAACGGAUCUCUUGGUUCUG